UUGCCGGGUAGCUAAGUCUGGAAGAGAUAACCGCUGAAAGCAUCUAAGCGGGAAACUUGCCUUAAGAUGAGAUUUCCCAGAGCCUUGAGCUCUUUGAAGGGUCGUUCGAGACCAGGACGUUGAUAGGCUGGGUGUGGAAGUGCAGUAAUGCAUUAAGCUAACCAGUACUAAUUGCCCGUACGGCUUGUCCCUAUAACCUUAGCAGGAUAUA
rnacentral:rRNA from 2 species